CACACUCUAGUCUCUCUCUCUCUUUUUCCUCUUCUGACAUGGAACAGCCAAACCAUCAUCAUGUACCGCUGGAGACUCAACCACAAUAUUGAGGAUAUAAUUUAGCAAGCUCUCCGUAGAGAACCGAGUGUGUUCUGGAUCAGUUUGUUAUGUGUCCAACCAGUUUGUCUUGCUAUCCAAAGAGCUCCCCGAAGUAUUAUUUUCCGCUCUCAGCGGUAAGGCUACGCUUGCAUCAGUUUCCAUCUUCAGACCAAUGGACAAACUGAGUAGGAACCCGAAGCCCCCUAGCUAACAGUGAUUGGUGCUUUCACCUGCCCUGGUCCAAAUUUGCACACCAGCUCUACAUCUCUGCUGCAACUGGAUACUCAUCUUCCAAAGCUUCUUUGGCAAUCAGCCACUGAUACUUUCAUUGCCUAAAAGAGAGAACGCUGUCGUCCCUAUGAAUCUCAAGAUCCACAGAGCAGUUCUUUUUCCACAAUAUUUUAUUGGAAAGGGGGUUUGGCCUUCAGCUAAGAGUUCUUCUAUUCUUCUUCAAAACCUCUUCCACAAUACGAUGCAUUUUGAUCAUCCCUCAUUGUGGUUAGGUCACACAUCAGUUAUUACUUUAUAGUUACUCUCUGUACCUCACAAUUGAAGUCUCACUUUGCAACCUUAGUUGGUUUCUAAACUUGCUUGUAAAUCAUUUCUCUCUAUAUAUUGGCUUUGAUUUUGAAACACCAAAGUCUAAGAAGUGAGUGCUAUUUUAAAGGUUCUGUAGUAGCUUGGAAUAAGUCGAUACAGUAUAUUCAGUUUCAGGCAUCCGGAGAAAAAUUAGGACAUCCCAUUAAAUGUUCAAUUCUUUUUUUCUUUAUGUCUGGGAAAUAAAUGAUUUAGCUAAAGGUAAGCACACACAAAAUACAUUCCCCAGACUAUGACAUUUCCAGCUCCUUGUGUCAUGCAUUUCCUUAACACCAAAUAUUAAAAUCCUGGUGUUCAAAGAAUUCAGUUUUAUUGGGUCCACAGAACAUUAUUCCACAUGUUGAAUGCUCUUUCUGAUAAACUUCAAAUUGUUUUUCCUUUGAGAACAUAUCUUGCACACCACCCCCAUAAGUUUAAGCUGUGCAGUCUCUUUUUGACUGUCUGCUUUUGUAUUAAAAGUAGCAGGAUUCAGGAUAAAUCCGAUGCAGAAAUCUGAAGAAUUCUGGAAAUCCUUAUAAGUAUAUUGAAUUUAGGCUAUACGGAUACCAUGCUUGCAUGAUUAAAACCUGAUUAAAAUAACAUUUUCUUCAAUUUUAUUAAUAAUUUAAACAACUUAAAAUUUCACAUCUUUUUAAAAUAAGUCAUGGUCAUGCAGGUGUCCGUCAUAAUUUGUUCCAUGACUUUGUAAACAAUGUCAAAAUGUAUUUAAAAUUCUCAAAA